AGCAAUCGAAGCAGUGAACUUAAGCCCCAGUAAACGGCGGCCGUAACUAUAACGGUCCUAAGGUAGCGAAAUUCCUUGUCGGGUAAGUUCCGACCCGCACGAAAGGCGUAACGAUUUGGGCACUGUCCCAACAACAGACUCGGUGAAAUUGUAAUUCCGGUGAAGAUGCCGGAUACCUGCGACAGGACGGAAAGACCCCAUGG
rnacentral:rRNA from 1 species